rnacentral:tRNA from 1 species
GGGCCAUAGCUCAGUGGUACAGCAUCUGCUUUGCAUGCAGAAGGUCCCAGGUUCAAUCCCUGGCAUCUCCA